UACGUAGGGCGCAAGCGUUAUCCGGAAUUAUUGGGCGUAAAGAGCUCGUAGGCGGCUUGUCGCGUCGAAUGUGAAAACUCGGGGCUCAACUCCGAGCUUGCAUUCGGUACGGGCUUGCUAGGGUCCGGCAGGGGAGACUGGAAUUCCUGGUGUAGCGGUGAAAUGCGCAGAUAUCAGGAGGAACACCGAUGGCGAAGGCAGGUCUCUGGGCCACUACUGACGCUGAGAAGCGAAAGCAUGGGGAGCGAACAGG
rnacentral:rRNA from 1 species